ACGACCUUACUUGAACAGGAUCUGUUCUAUAGGAUCGUACCGUUGCAUCCUUGACUAAUAAGGAGGCAAGCACUUAAGCUUGGUUGAUGACAUCUGACCUGUGGGCCAGAGCGUGAUUAACGGCUCGGACCAGUUGCCGCUGAUCUCAUGGCUGUAGAUGAUCGUUCCUGUUCAGCUUAGGCUGAAUCAGGGUGGCCCACAGGUUGUCUGACAGGCU